UGAUAUGAUUGAUGGCCAUGGCUUAU
rnacentral:piRNA from 1 species